rnacentral:tRNA from 1 species
AGCGGGUGUAGUUUAGUGGUAAAACUACGGCCUUCCAAGCUGUUGUCGCGAGUUCGAUUCUCGUCACCCGCUU